rnacentral:lncRNA from 1 species
GCUGGCCUUGAACUCACUAUAUAGUCCAGGCUGGCCUCGAACUCAUGGAGAUCCUCCUGCUUCUGCCUCCUGAGUGCUGAGAUUACAGUUGAAUAUGUGAGGAUAAACUAUGAACUACCAACUAGUGAUUAGGACAGAGCAUGAUUUUUAUCACCUCAGCAAUGUAAUUUAGAGGACUAAAGAUUUAAGUUUGAUCCAAACUGGCUGACAUCAGUUUAGCAUUAUGUCUUUGAACAGUUUGUUGUAGACUUAGACUUGUAUAAAUUCUCCUUCCUUCUCAUCCUACUUCAAGCAGUCUUCAGAUUCAUGAAGUUUUGCAUACUGGCAGCAGGAGGAAGAACAUGCAUUGUCUGACCUAGGAUCAGUUUCUGGGUAGGCAAAGCAGGGGUUUGAGAACUUCAGAACACUCAUCUACAGGCGGGGGUCUAGAAAGUGGGCCUUUUCUCUCCGUCACAGAAGAUAAAUCUGGGAACUAGAUAAUAACAACCUAAAGGUGACAUCAUUGUGAAGAGGCAGAAGCACAGAAUUCAAAUGUGAAAGUGAGAAGGUCAAGGAGGGGAUUUAAGGCAAACUGUACUGUCUUUCCCUGGAUGCUCUGACUUUCAUCGCAACAUCUAACUCAGUAAUGUGAAGGAAGACCAUUUGCAAGUAAAAAGGGAAUGUCCAAACCUAUUUGUAGAUGAAAAGGAAUUGUCCAAGCUUACUGUUUUCUGGGAG